UACAGAGGUCCCAAGCGUUGUUCGGAUUCACUGGGCGUAAAGGGUGCGUAGGUGGUGAGGUAAGUCGGAUGUGAAAUCUCCGAGCUCAACUCGGAAAUGGCAUUGGAAACUGCCUUGCUAGAGGAUUGGAGGGGAGACUGGAAUGCUUGGUGUAGCAGUGAAAUGCGUAGAUAUCAAGCGGAACACCAGUGGCGAAGGCGAGUCUCUGGACAAUUCCUGACACUGAGGCACGAAAGCCAGGGGAGCAAACGGG
rnacentral:rRNA from 1 species